rnacentral:tRNA from 1 species
GCGGAAGUGGCGAAAUUGGUAGACGCACUGGAUUUAGGUUCCAGCGCCGCAAGGUGUAAGAGUUCGAGUCUCUUCUUCCGCACCA